rnacentral:rRNA from 1 species
UCUUGAACGCAUAUUGCGGCCAUGGGUUAGCCUGUGGCCACGCCUGUCCGAGGGUCGGCUUAUAAACUAUCACGACGCCCAAAAAGUCGUGGCUUGGGUUUUGCCAGCUGGCGUGAUCUCCUCUAUGAGUAAUCAUGUGAGGUGCCAGAUCUAUGGCGUUUCCCUAAUGUAUCCGGAUGCACCCUUGUCUUGGCAAAAAGCCGUGGUGAGGUGCAGUGGCGGAAUCGUGGUUUAAUAAUCGGGUUGGUACUCAGUUGUCAGUGUGUUCGGCGAUCCCCUAGUCGGCACACUCAUGAUUUCUGGGAUAAUUCCAUACCAGGCACGUUCCGUUACUGUUACUUUGUCAUUGGUUUGAUGCUGAACUUGGUCAUGUGUCUGAUGCUAUUUCAUAUAACGACGGUACCCUUCGUGGUCUGUCUUCCUGACCUCGGUUCAGACGUGAUUACCCGCUGAACUUAAGCAUAUCACUAAGCGGAGGAAAAGAA